rnacentral:rRNA from 1 species
GACGAACGCUGGCGGCGUGCUUAACACAUGCAAGUCGAACGGAAAGGCCUUUUCGGAGGUACUCGAGUGGCGAACGGGUGAGUAACACGUGGGUGAUCUGCCCUGCACUCUGGGAUAAGCCUGGGAAACUGGGUCUAAUACCGGAUAGGACCGCACUUUAGUGUGUGUGGUGGAAAGUUUUUUCGGUGUAGGAUGAGCCCGCGGCCUAUCAGCCUGUUGGUGGGGUAAUGGCCUACCAAGGCGGCGACGGGUAGCCGGACUGAGAGGUUGGUCGGCCACAUUGGGACUGAGAUACGGCCCAGACUCCUACGGGAGGCAGCAGUGGGGAAUAUUGCACAAUGGGCGCAAGCCUGAUGCAGCGACGCCGCGUGGGGGAUGACGGCCUUCGGGUUGUAAACUCCUUUCGCCAGGGACGAAGCGUUUUGUGACGGUACCUGGAGAAGAAGCACCGGCUAACUACGUG